rnacentral:rRNA from 1 species
UACAGAGGGGGCAAGCGUUGUUCGGAAUUACUGGGCGUAAAGGGCGCGUAGGCGGCCCUCUAAGUCAGACGUGAAAUCCCUCGGCUCAACCGGGGAACUGCGUCUGAGACUGGAAGGCUUGAAUUCGGGAGAGGGAUGUGGAAUUCCAGGUGUAGCGGUGAAAUGCGUAGAUAUCUGGAGGAACACCGGUGGCGAAGGCGGCAUCCUGGACCGAGAUUGACGCUGAUGCGCGAAAGCUAGGGUAGCAAACGGG